GAUUAUGGCUCAGGAUGAACGCUGGCGGCGUGCUUAACACAUGCAAGUCGAGCGAAGCACUUUUAAGGAAGUUUCGGAUGGAAUUAAAGUGACUGAGCGGCGGACGGGUGAGUAACACGUGGAUAACCUGCCUCAUAGAGGGGAAUAGCCUUCCGAAAGGAAGGUUAAUACCGCAUAAGAUUGUAAUAUUGCAUGAUAUAGCAAUUAAAGGAGUAAUCCGCUAUGAGAUGGACCCGCGUCGCAUUAGCUAGUUGGUGAGGUAACGGCUCACCAAGGCGACGAUGCGUAGCCGACCUGAGAGGGUGAUCGGCCACAUUGGGACUGAGACACGGCCCAGACUCCUACGGGAGGCAGCAGUGGGGAAUAUUGCACAAUGGGGGAAACCCUGAUGCAGCCAACGCCGCGUGAGUGAUGACGGUCUUCGGAUUGUAAAGCUCUGUCUUCAGGGACGAUAAUGACGGUACCUGAGGAGGAAGCCACGGCUAACUACGUGCCAGCAGCCGC
rnacentral:rRNA from 1 species